GGGGAUUUGGCUCAGUGGUAGAGCGCUUGCCUAGGAAGCGCAAGGUCCUGGGUUCAAUUCCCAGCCCCCA
rnacentral:tRNA from 1 species